CAAUGAUCCCUCACUGCCCAGGUCCACCGUUAUCCUCUGACCCCUCACCAAUGAGCCCUCAUUGCCCAGGUCCACCAUCAUCCUCUGACCACUCACCAACGAUCCCUCACUGCCCAGGUCCACCAUCAUCCUCUGACCCCUCACCAACGAGCCCUCAUUGCCCAGGUCCACCGUCAUCCUCUGACCCCUCACCAACGAGCCCUCACUGCCCAGGUCCACCGUCAUCCUCUGACCCCUCACCAACGAUCCCUCACUGCCCAGGUCCACCGUUAUCCUCUGACCCUCUCACCAACGAUCCCUCACUGCCCAGGUCCACCGUCAUCCUCUGACCCCUUACCAACGAUCCCUCACUGCCCAGGUCCACCGUCAUCCUCUGACCCUCUCACCAACGAGCCCUCACUGCCCAGGUCCACCGUCAUCCUCUGACCCCUCACCAACGAUCCCUCACUGCCCAGGUCCACCGUCAUCCUCUGACCCUCUCACCAACGAUCCCUCACUGCCCAGGUCCACCGUC
rnacentral:lncRNA from 1 species